rnacentral:hammerhead_ribozyme from 1 species
CCACUGCUGAGGAGUCCCAUACUAGGACGAAACGGCCGUCCAGUAC